GGGCAGCUUCACACCGGUCGGUACACGCUGCUCUGAAACUAGGAGAAAGAGGCGGCCGGGCAGUCCACGGGCUUGGCUCUGGUCGGCCCUCAACUCCCUGCGGGCCCGCGGGCUCCGGCCGCGCUCGCCCCUCUCCGCCACACUCGUUCCUCCAGCCCUCGCCUCCCCUCGUCCCGCCGCAGCAACUCUCCCCGGAGCGGCGCGGACAGCGUGGCAGAUCCUCCCGGGCGGAUCCGCUCGGGCCUGGGCCGCCAGCCACCCUGCCUGCUCUGCUCGCGGCCCCCGGCCUCCCCCCGGCCCGCCGCCCGCCGCCCCGGGCCCAGGCCGCGCUGCCGCGGCCGCCCCGAGGGGAGCUGGGGGACUCGGCCGGCUCCGCGUGGCGCCGGGGGCGGAGCCGGCCCGGAGGGCCCGGGGAGAGGCCGGGGGCGGGCGGCGGCCUCCGCCUACCCCGACACGCACCCCACCGCCCCCAACCCCAACCCUCCUCGGGGCCCCGGCCCGCGCUCGCGGCCGGGCGGCCGGCGGGACUAGCCACUUACCAACCCGCCUGGGACAACGCCGCGCCGGGGACCUCAGACAUGAAAGUAACGCCCGCGUUUCCAGCGCCGAGAGGCGGUCACUUCACCAGAGACCAGGAUAUGCUAGAGCUGAGACGGAUGGGUCGGUUGAGAGGCAGUGCUUCCAGUUUGGGGACAGUGAAACUCAACGAAAGAGGUGUUGCCAGCCACUCUGCAUAGGAAAAAAGUUUACUUUUUUUUUUUUUUUAAUAAAGACUCGCUCCAUUCACUCUGCUUUUCGAUCUGCCCCGACGCAAAGAAAAGAAUAAAGUCGCAUUUUUUUCGAGUCCUCACGGGCAAUCAGUUUGUAGAGGUUGGAGCACAAUGAAAAUGAUGAACCCAAGAAAACCUGAACUUAAGGGACAUGGUUGUAAAAUUGGGCAGUUGUGUCAGUGCUUGUUUUCUCUGUCCCUCUGCCACUAGACCCGUCCAAAGUCCCAGCGCGGUCCUGUGACGGUAGCACCGGCAUAACCGGGCCUGGAUGGCUCCACAGCCUCCGCGUCCGUGUCCUUCUCUAGCCCCCAGGAUGGCUGAAGCGCAGGGGCUGGUCCCCCGAGUGAGCCUGCGCGGCGGCGUCGCCGAACGCGCGUUGGACGCUCCAGCACGAUUGGACGGCUGAGACCGACGACAGCCAAUCGGGGAGGAGCAGGCGGAAGGGGCCACUGGUCGGGGAGACACUCCCUAAAAGUGUGCUCCGCCCUCCGUGGUUUUCCACCUCUGCGGCUACUCGGCAUAAAGACGCUUCUGUGUAGCUCCGGCCCCAACUGUCAAGUCACGGGGAGAAACCGAGAACUUAAGCCCCGUCACCCGCCGCUGCCUCAUCUGAAACCAUCAUCACAAACACAGACUUGGAGCAGAGACUGCGGAACUGGGCAGAGCCGCUCCGGGAAUUGGGGAGGAAAUUGACAGUUACAGAAGGAAGGAAAUAAUUGCCAUGGGUGGAGCUCAAUACAAAUUGGAACUCAGUACAAAUUUUUCUCCUUUUAACUGGGAAACUCCGUUUGGGCUUUCCAAGGCAUAGUUGUAAAAUCGCGAUGCUUCUAAUGCUAUCGAAAUAUGUUUCCAAGCACAUUACUUAUUUUAAUGAAAAGUAUUUCCAAGUACUUAGAAUCAGAAAUAAUUCCAUCCUAUUCCCUGCAAUUUGCAGUAGUAUACUGUGUUUAGACCAUACACAUGCUACAAGUAUAUUUCAAUUUAAUGGCACCAGUUAUCCUACCCUGGAGUCAGGAAAAGAUUUGCAAUUCUGAAGGUAAAUAGAUGAUUCAAAUUGCUAAUAAUUUUUAUUGGUGUUAAAUAGGAUCCACUCUUACCAAUUAUUUACAUUUUGCAAUUAAUGUAAGUUGUUAACUAUGAAAAUGAUAUGCUGUCCUAAUGUCAGAAUUCUUCACUGGCUAAAUGUGAAUCCCUUACACGUUUGUUCUUGUGGUGCAGUGUAGUAAGAAUUUACCAUCGCGUAGCACUUACAAUAACUUUAAUAAAAUGCUCCAUGAAACGCUA